GACGAACGCUGGCGGCGUGCCUAAUACAUGCAAGUAAAACGCUGAAGAGAGGAGCUUGCUCUUCUUGGAAGAGUUGCGAACGGGUGAGUAACGCGUAGGUAACCUGCCUUGUAGCGGGGGAUAACUAUUGGAAACGAUAGCUAAUACCGCAUAACAAUGGGUGACCCAUGUCAUUCAUUUGAAAGGGGCAACUGCUCCACUACAAGAUGGACCUGCGUUGUAUUAGCUAGUAGGUGAGGUAACGGCUCACCUAGGCGACGAUACAUAGCCGACCUGAGAGGGUGAUCGGCCACACUGGGACUGAGACACGGCCCAGACUCCUACGGGAGGCAGCAGUAGGGAAUCUUCGGCAAUGGGGGCAACCCUGACCGAGCAACGCCGCGUGAGUGAAGAAGGUUUUCGGAUCGUAAAGCUCUGUUGUAAGUCAAGAACGAGUGUGAGAGUGGAAAGUUCACACUGUGACGGUAGCUUACCAGAAAGGGACGGCUAACUACGUGCCAGCAGCCGCGGUAAUACGUAGGUCCCGAGCGUUGUCCGGAUUUAUUGGGCGUAAAGCGAGCGCAGGCGGUUUGAUAAGUCUGAAGUUAAAGGCUGUGGCUCAACCAUAGUUUGCUUUGGAAACUGUCAAACUUGAGUGCAGAAGGGGAGAGUGGAAUUCCAUGUGUAGCGGUGAAAUGCGUAGAUAUAUGGAGGAACACCGGUGGCGAAAGCGGCUCUCUGGUCUGUAACUGACGCUGAGGCUCGAAAGCGUGGGGAGCGAACAGG
rnacentral:rRNA from 1 species